rnacentral:tRNA from 1 species
GGCACUGUAGCUUAGUUGGUUAAAGCACCUUCCUUUUAAAUAGAAGAUCCUGGGUUCAAAUCCCAGCAGUGUCU